AGACUUCCCUGGCAGGAGAGACCAUGAUCACGAAGGUGGUUUUCCCAGGGCGAGGUUUAUCCAUUGCACUCUGGUUGUGCUGACCCCUGCGAUUUCCCCGGAUGUGGGAAACCCGACUGCUUAAUUUGUGGUAGUGGGGGACUGCGUUCACAUGCUCCAA